rnacentral:rRNA from 1 species
GAUGAACGCUGACAGAAUGCUUAACACAUGCAAGUCUUUGGCGAAGCUGUGCUCGCUCAGCCUAGCCAAGGCGGACGGGUGAGUAACGCGUCAGGAACUUGCCCUGCAGUCAGGGAUAACAGACGGAAACGACUGAUAAGACCUGGUAAAGUCAGGCGGACUCAUGUCUAGCCUGAUGAAAAGAGAUGCUGCAGGAGAGCCUUGCGUCCUAUUAGCUUGUUGGUGGGGUAACGGCCCACCAAGGCGAUGAUAGGUAGCCGGCCUGAGAGGGUGGACGGCCACAAGGGGACUGAGAUACGGCCCUUACUCCUACGGGAGGAAGCAGUGGGGAAUAUUGGACAAUGGGGGCAACACUGAUCCAGCAAUUCUGUGUGCACGAUGAAGGUUUUCGGAUUGUAAAGUGCUUUCAGCAGGGAAGAAAAAAAUGACGGUACCUGCAGAAGAAGCGACGGCUAAAUACGUG